rnacentral:rRNA from 1 species
GACGAACGCUGGCGGCGUGCUUAACACAUGCGAGUCGAACGGAAAGGCCUCUUUCGGGGGGUACUCGAGUGGCGAACGGGUGAGUAACACGUGAGUAACCUGCCCUUGACUUUGGGAUAACUUCAGGAAACUGGGGCUAAUACCGGAUAGGAGCUCCUGCUGCAUGGUGGGGGUUGGAAAGUUUCGGCGGUUGGGGAUGGACUCGCGGCUUAUCAGCUUGUUGGUGGGGUAGUGGCUUACCAAGGCUUUGACGGGUAGCCGGCCUGAGAGGGUGACCGGCCACAUUGGGACUGAGAUACGGCCCAGACUCCUACGGGAGGCAGCAGUGGGGAAUAUUGCACAAUGGGCGGAAGCCUGAUGCAGCAACGCCGCGUGCGGGAUGACGGCCUUCGGGUGGUAAACCGCUUUCGCCUGUGACGAAGCGUGAGUGACGGGAAUGGGUAAAGAAGCACCGGCUAACUACGU